CGUCACAAUUGUUCUGCCAUUUGCAUACAACGUUUACCAGCACUAACCAACAUGGCGUCCGGUGUUGUGCUGUGUCGUGUGCUUUUGUAACUAAAACUCCGUUUUGACAUCACUUUCAUCAUAAUCUGAAUAAAAUAAUAAUAAUAAUAAAAACCAUCGAAAACGAAUCAAAAAGCAAAUAAUAAUAAAUCAUCUAAUAAAAACAACAACAACAACAAAAUACCAAGUUACAUACCAAUAAAGCAAACAAACAACAACAACAACUAAAGCAACAAAGCUCAAAAAGUCUAAGAGGCGUUUAAUAACCGGAGAGGCAUCUGCCAUAAACUUUUAGUUUUGAAAAUUUCCUUUGUUUUCGUUUGCAAAUUCGCUUUAAAACUCUACAACUGCAUGCCGAAAAAGCUCACAUGAAAAGUCUACAAAAAUUAGCAAAAAGACUGUAAAAAAGCAAAUAAAAAAAAUACACGAAAAGAAAAAAUUUAAAAGGGGAACGUCGCCGUCUGCGGCGAACGUCUGUUAGCGGGUGUGAGCGAGAGAGAGAGAGAGAGAGAGAGAAAGAAAGAGACGACAAAGCGACUGCGCAUCUGUGCAAAAAGAAAAAAAUAACAAAACAAGCCAAGCUUAAAACGAAGACUUUCAAAACCAACAACAAAAAACCAAACAAAAUUCAAACGCUGUGAAAUUAACUCGUCAAUACUCAAAGCAACAACAACAUAAACGGAAAAACAGAAAAAAGCAACAAAGAGAAAUCAACUGAAGUAAAACGGAGUUGAGGUCUAAAUAAAAUAAAUAUACACACACACGCACUAAACAUAUUUAAAAAUAAUUAUAAUUAUCAGAACUGCCUAACAUUAGCAGCUACAAACGCAACGCUGAGGCGUUGACGUUGACGUCGAACUCGAAUAACUGAAAAGAAAAUUUAACACCAACAACAACAACCGUUAAACAAUCCCAAAAUUCCUCAUUUAUUUUUCCUGAAAGCUUUAAUUUAAUUACGAAUUUUUGUUAAGUCAAAAGUGAAUUCAAUUUGCUAAAAAAAAAUAUAAAAAUUUAUUUAAAUUUAAGACAACAAAAACGCCGCCUCUACUACAACAACAACAAACACCAACAUCAAAAACAACAACAGGAACAAAGCAAAGCGAAGCGAGAGCAACACAAACAGCAAAAGCAACACCAACAACAACAACUACCAACAAACAACUGAAUUAAAGUUUUAAAGUACAAAAUAACCGGGAGAAAAGAGAGAACAACAAAAACAACAACAAAACUAAUUUAAACAAAACUAAAACAUUUUAUUUAAACGCAACAUCAAUUUAAAUUAUUUAAUAAAAAAAUAAACAAAAUAUAGUCUAUAAGCAGAAACAAAAACAAACGAAAACUUUGUCGCCUGUCGUGCGGCGGCCGUGUGAAAAAGUGCAAGAGAGAGACAGAGUGAAUAGUGGAGAGAGCGCACAUUAAGCAACGGUGCGAUCGAGAGAGGAGGAAGAGAGAGAGACACCGUUAGAAAGUUCCGCCUUGUCUAAGAACAGAAUAGAAUAAACUAUAAAGCAACAAUUGUGCCGCAAAGAAAAGAAAAAACAAAAGCAACAAAAAAAAAAAAAAAAA
rnacentral:sRNA from 1 species